rnacentral:rRNA from 1 species
UACGAAGGGGGCUAGCGUUGCUCGGAAUCACUGGGCGUAAAGCGCACGUAGGCGGACUUUUAAGUCAGGGGUGAAAUCCUGGAGCUCAACUCCAGAACUGCCUUUGAUACUGAGGAUCUUGAGUUCGGGAGAGGUGAGUGGAACUGCGAGUGUAGAGGUGAAAUUCGUAGAUAUUCGCAAGAACACCAGUGGCGAAGGCGGCUCACUGGCCCGAUACUGACGCUGAGGCGCGAAAGCGUGGGGAGCAAACAGGG